rnacentral:misc_RNA from 1 species
ACAAACUUGGUCAUUUAGAGGAAGUAAAAGUCGUAACAAGGUUUCCGUAGGUGAACCUGCGGAAGGAUCAUUAACGAGUCGUUGAAAUGGGUUGUUGCUGGCCUCGCUCGGGGCAACGUGCACGCCCUGCUCGCACGUCCAUCCUUACCACCUGUGCACAACCUGUAGCUCUGAGCAAGGCUUGGAAGCGCCUUGAGCGCCUCCGACCGCUUGGUCCUAUGUUUUUCACCCUUCUAUUACAACGUUUGAUUGAAUGUGCAUAUGGCGUACCUAGUGUGGCGCCAAAAGAAAUAUAACUUUCAGCAACGGAUCUCUUGGCUCUCGCAUCGAUGAAGAACGCAGC